rnacentral:rRNA from 1 species
GACGGAGGGGGCAAGCGUUGUCCGGAAUCACUGGGCGUAAAGCGCACGUAGGCGGGACGGUGCGUCGGUGCUGAAAGCGCCAGACUUAACCUGGCGAGGCGUGCCGAUACGACCGACCUCGAGGCAGACAGAGGGUGGCGGAAUUCCGGGUGUAGUGGUGAAAUGCGUAGAGAUCCGGAGGAACGCCGGUGGCGAAAGCGGCCACCUGGGUCUGACCUGACGCUGAGGUGCGAAAGCUAGGGGAGCAAACAGG